CUGGGCCACUCACCUCGGAGGCUUACGGACCUAAGCUAGAUUGGUUGCUCAAUUACCAGAUUUAGAAGUUUGGAUAUCCAGAGACCCAAAUGACUGAGCCUCAGAUCACUCGGAGCCUGGAGGCAUAUAUAAUGUGGCUUCUCGGGAAGGUGAUGUUCACCGAGAACCACGUCACCACCAUUAGCGCACGCUAGAUCCCUAUUGCAGUGGAGAUCGCGAAUGCAACUUGUGGUGACGACAUCACACAGAGGAGUUGGGGUUCGGCCAUCUUAGCGGCUACGUACCGAGGUAUGUGAAACGAUUGCCAGCUUGCGUCGCCCAAGUCAGCCCUGCUUGGAUGUCCUUUAUUGUUGCAGCUCUGGUCGUGGGAGAGGUUUUCUAUCGGCCGACCAGACGUUACGGGUGAUCAACCUAACCCUGAGCAGGAGUUGUUUGACUUAGAACACAUCGACCUGCCUACUUUCGCGACAAUUUGGACGCGUAGCAAGAGACGCUUUGCACACGAUCAGGUCAGGAAUUGCUACCCAUCAUUCAAUGAGCAGUUCGACGUGUUGCACUCGGAGGCGGUUGUCUGGG